GUUGUGAUUCACAAAUUAAAGUGCCUACGUAGAAGAUCACAAACUGUUCCGGCAAGAGAGAUGCUGCUCUAUGUUAGAUGCUUAUCCUGUCAGUUAUUAAAGGAGGGUCAGUGGAUGUUUCCAGGGGAAUAUAUCAGUACGCUCAAGACUCUGGAUGAUAUAUUCGCUCAGAAAUCAAUAGAAUAUAUUUAUGAAAAGAAUAUGAAGGAUGAAUUCAAAUCCGGUCUUUGGGAAGAUAUAAAGACAACAACAAAAUCAGCAUACCGUCCACCCAAACAAA